rnacentral:rRNA from 1 species
UGAGGAAUAUUGGUCAAUGGACGAGAGUCUGAACCAGCCAAGUAGCGUGAAGGAUGACUGCCCUAUGGGUUGUAAACUUCUUUUAUAUGGGAAUAAAGUUCAGUAUGUAUACUGUUUUGUAUGUACCAUAUGAAUAAGGAUCGGCUAACUCCGUGCCAGCAGCCGCGGUAAUACGGAGGAUCCGAGCGUUAUCCGGAUUUAUUGGGUUUAAAGGGAGCGUAGGCGGAAGCUUAAGUCAGUUGUGAAAGUUUGCGGCUUAACCGUAAAAUUGCAGUUGAUACUGGGUUUCUUGAGUGCAGCAGAGGUAGGCGGAAUUCGUGGUGUAGCGGUGAAAUGCUUAGAUAUCACGAAGAACUCCGAUUGCGAAGGCAGCAUACCGGCGCUCAACUGACGCUGAGGCACGAAAGCGUGGGGGAUCGAACAGGAUUAGUACC